CCUACGGGUGACAGCAGUGAGGAAUAUUGGUCAAUGGCCGAAAGUCUGAACCAGCCACGUCGCGUGAAGGAUGACUUCCCUAUGCGUUGUAAACUUCUUUUGUAGGGGAGUAAUACGCAGCACGUGUGCGUUUUUGCAUGUACUUUAUGGAUAAGCCUCGUCUAACUCCGUGCCAGCAGCCGCGGUAAUACGGAGGGUCCGAGCGUUAUCCAGAUUUAUUGGGUUUAAAGGGAGCGUAGAGGGGUGUUUAAGUCAGGUGUGAAAGGUGGCGGCUUAACCGUAAAAGUGCAAUUGAAACUGGCAGGCUGGAGUGCAGGGGAGGUAGGCGGAAUUCGUGGUGUAGCGGUGAAAUGCGUAGAUAUCACGAAGAACCCCGAUUGCGAAGGCAGCUUACUAAACUGUGACUGACAUUGAGGCUCGAAAGCGUGGGGAUCAAACAGGAUUAGAUACCCGAGUAGUC
rnacentral:rRNA from 1 species